UACGGGGGGAGCAAGCGUUGUUCGGAUUUACUGGGCGUAAAGGGCGCGUAGGCGGUCAGCACAAGUCAAUUGUGAAAUCUCCGAGCUUAACUCGGAAAGGUCAACUGAAACUGUGCGACUAGAGUGCGGAAGGGGCAACUGGAAGUCUUGGUGUAGCGGUGAAAUGCGUAGAUAUCAAGAGGAACACCUGCGGCGAAGGCGGGUUGCUGGGCCGACACUGACGCUGAAGCGCGAAAGCCAGGGGAGCGAACGGG
rnacentral:rRNA from 1 species